rnacentral:lncRNA from 1 species
CUCACUUUAAAGGUACUCACCUCUUUCUUUUGUCUUUGGAAGGAGUUGAAGUGUUUACUUUGCUAAAGAUAUUUUCAUCUCCCACAAGAACAGAAUACAAAAGGUUUUUGGCACAGUGUCAAUGGGAUCAGAGGGAGACUGAACUGGAAAAUAACAGAAAGCAGGGACUAUGGAGAGGAGUGGAGUCCAUUGUUUUUCUGCUUGCUGGAGAGGUUAAGGACAGAUCUCAACAAAGUACUGGGAAAGGAUUUGAUAAGAAGUAAGAACAGACUUUUCUCAAGACAAUGCAGCUAUAAACAAGAGUCAGGAAAACAGAUUAAUUUAGUGGUCAGAUAAUCUUUGAAAAUCCUUGGAUUGACUAUGGUAUAUAUCUGACUAUGUACUGGCAUUUGAAAAAGAAAAUGGAAAAUUAGAUUUUGGCUACAGUACUUGUUUCCUUCUGUUUUUCUUGUAGUCUAAACACGCAAAUCCAUACAGUGUAGUGGAAAUUUAGCAGUCAUAUUAUGUAGCUAUUAACACCAGAAAACUUUCUAUGACCAUGGUACAGCAUAAAAAAAUAAUCAAAAUCUACCAACACUUCCUCACGGUGGAUCAUAUAUUCUAAAUGUAGCUGGUUCUCUGAUGCCGUGCCUUGAAGCUGUGAAUAAACCCUGAUACUUAAAGACA